rnacentral:rRNA from 1 species
GCAGUCGAGCGAUCUGAGGGAGCUUGCUCCCAAGAUUAGCGGCGGACGGGUGAGUAACACGUGGGUAACCUGCCUGUAAGAUUGGGAUAACUCCGGGAAACCGGAGCUAAUACCGGAUAACAUUUCGAACCGCAUGGUUCGAAAUUGAAAGACGGCUUCGGCUGUCACUUACAGAUGGACCCGCGGCGCAUUAGCUAGUUGGUGAGGUAACGGCUCACCAAGGCGACGAUGCGUAGCCGACCUGAGAGGGUGAUCGGCCACACUGGGACUGAGACACGGCCCAGACUCCUACGGGAGGCAGCAGUAGGGAAUCUUCCGCAAUGGACGAAAGUCUGACGGAGCAACGCCGCGUGAACGAUGAAGGCCUUCGGGUCGUAAAGUUCUGUUGUUAGGGAAGAACAAGUACCAGAGUAACUGCUGGUACCUUGACGGUACCUAACCAGAAAGCCACGGCUAACUACGUGCCAGCAGCCGCGGUAAUACGUAGGUGGCAAGCGUUGUCCGGAAUUAUUGGGCGUAAAGCGCGCGCAGGCGGUUUCUUAAGUCUGAUGUGAAAGCCCACGGCUCAACCGUGGAGGGUCAUUGGAAACUGGGAAACUUGAGUGCAGAAGAGGAGAGUGGAAUUCCACGUGUAGCGGUGAAAUGCGUAGAGAUGUGGAGGAACACCAGUGGCGAAGGCGACUCUCUGGUCUGUAACUGACGCU